rnacentral:rRNA from 1 species
UACGUAGGGGGCAAGCGUUGUCCGGAUUUACUGGGCGUAAAGAGCGCGUAGGCGGAAGCUUAAGUGUGGUUUGAAAGCCCCCGGCUCAACCGGGGAAUGUGAUUGCAAACUGGGCUUCUUGAGGGGGAUAGAGGAGAGUGGAAUUCCUGGUGUAGCGGUGAAAUGCGUAGAGAUCAGGAGGAACACCCGUGGCGAAGGCGGCUCUCUGGGUCCGCCCUGACGCUGAGGCGCGAAAGCUAGGGGAGCAAACGGG